UACCAGCACCCCGAGUGGUCGGAGACGUUUAUUGGGCCUAAAGCAUCCGUAGCCGGUUCUACAAGUCUUCCGUUAAAUCCACCUGCUUAACAGAUGGGCUGCGGAAGAUACUAUAGAGCUAGGAGGCGGGAGAGGCAAGCGGUACUCGAUGGGUAGGGGUAAAAUCCGUUGAUCCAUUGAAGACCACCAGUGGCGAAGGCGGCUUGCCAGAACGCGCUCGACGGUGAGGGAUGAAAGCUGGGGGAGCAAACCGG
rnacentral:rRNA from 1 species